rnacentral:rRNA from 1 species
GACGGAGGUGGCGAGCGUUGUUCGGAUUCAUUGGGUGUAAAGGGUGCGUAGGCGGUUUGGAAAGUCGGAUGUGAAAGCCCACAGCUCAACUGUGGAAUUGCAUCUGAAACUCCCAGACUUGAGUGCGAGAGAGGUGAAGGGAAUUCCCGGUGUAAGGGUGAAAUCUGCAGAGAUCGGGAGGAACACCAGUAGCGAAGGCGCUUCACUGGCUCGUAACUGACGCUGAGUGCACGAAGGCGCGGGGAGCAAACGGG